UCGUUGUCCUUUCCUCCGUUGCUUCCUUUUUGGGUUGCAACGGGGACCUCGAAGCAAUCCCCGUGUCCCAUGUAGUCCUCAGCAUUUUGUUGUGGCUGCUGUGGUCCACGAGUGCUUGCUCGUUCUCUCGGAUGCGGAACACUACGUGAGAGUGGGAGUCCGCGACCCCCGAUCGCUCGAAAUUGUCCCUUUGACACGGAAGACGUCCGCAACUGUGCCAACCUUUGCCCCCGGGCUUUUAGGCGUGCGCACAGCUUGCGGUGU
rnacentral:misc_RNA from 1 species